GGUACCCUUUCCCUGGCCGGGAAGGGGUGGGACCGGGCGCCAGGGGGAGCUGUGGCCCACUGGAGGGCUCUCCGCUCCCAGACCCGCCCUCUACCCCGCCCAGGCCACGCCCCUUGCCCAGCCAUUGCCGCGAAUUCCGUGGUAACCACGCCCAUACCCCGCCUCUCACUCUCCCAAACGCCCGGCCGAUCCCAUCUCCCUGGUGCUUUUCCAGAGCUGACCGCCCCACGCUGCUCCAGACGCCCCACCCUUCAUGCCACGCCCCCACCCCUAUUUUUCCUGCCGCCACGCCUCCCACCUGCCCCCGCCGUCUCGGCGGCUCCUCUCUAGGUGCCCCGCCCACCGCCCCGCCCCUCUCUUUCUUCACGCUUCGGGAUACGCGGCUCUUGCGCCCUCUACCGGCCUGAUUUUCCCAACCCACGGGGAGAUAGAGCAGCGCCCACCCUUAAAAACUGGAGUUAGGAGAACUUCAUUUCCUUUCAAUAGUUUCCGUAGUCUUUUCAGACUGCCCUUCCUUAGGCCUAAAAGGAGCUUCGACGGGAACGCCUUCGAGUUCCCACUGCCAAAUCUACACUCCUACCUGUGGCUGCUCCACCUUUCUUGGCAGGAAAGGUGUAGGUCGUUUCUCCUGCUCCGCUCGGCUCUGCUCUGAUCCAGCCCUUGAGCUCCUCUCGCUUUCAGCCUGGGUCUGGACAGAAAUCUUCAUCUCAUAUCACAGAUGGGCAAACAGAUGGAGAGGAAUGGAGACUCAGGUCACAAGCUCCAUGGUCCUGAGGUCCUGAGGCUUGGCUGUGGAGGUCAGGGCCCUCUGGUCCCAGCAUCGCUCAGCUGCUGACCAUUCCAUGAGCUCAUCCUCUCCCCAGUGAGACCUUCCUUGGGCCUGGCCCUCUGUAUGUUGUUCUGAGCUCUCCUUCCCAGCUGUAAUGGUCCAGUCUGGAUUUAGGUGACCCCCAGAUGGAAUGGUUGGAGGCCCAAGCUGUUUCCAGCUUCCUGCUUCACCAGCCGUAGAAGGAGCCCCUGCUCUCAUGGCCCACGAUGGCGCUCCAGCUGUCACAUCCACCUUGUCAGCAACAAGAAGGGACCGGGGCGGCAAAGACACUGCAGAUCUCUUAAAGGUCCUCCCCGCUCCCCAUAUUAAACUGGCUUAGGGCACUUUGAUUGUAUCCCACUAACCAGGAGUAAAUGAACUGGCUAUACCUAGCUGCAAGAGAGUCUGGGAAAUGGAGUUUUCAUCCUAGGAAGCCAUGCGCCAGCUAAAGGGGGAGAACUAAUAUUGUGGUUGGCACCCAGCUGCCUCUGCCACACUUUGGGGUGCCAAGAAAGGAGACCGGACAGGGAAGGUGGGCAUUUGGAUGCCAGGUGAAGAAAGGAAAGGGAAAGGAGGGGGGGAUUUAGUAUCUGGGUUAGAGAAAGACUGUGUGACUUUGGCAAGUCAGUUCUCACAUCUGGGCCUCAGUUUCCCUAUCUGAGUUAUAAUAAGGAGUA